rnacentral:lncRNA from 1 species
CAGAGGGGAAGUGGGGAGGGAAGAGGGUGAAAAGGGGUGAUUAGGCAAAUGUGUGUGGUGAUGGAUUGUCAUUAGUCGUUAUGUGGUGAACACGACGUCAUCUACACAGAAAUCGCAAUAUAAUGAUGAACCCCUGAAACUACGUAAUGCUAUAAACGACGGUGACUCCCACCAGAAAAAGAAUUGAAGGAAACUUGGCCCAGUUAAGAGGCAACUUGGGAAUCCCCUUUCCAUGGUGCCAGCCCUGUCCUGGGAUGUGAAGAUGGCAGCAGCACCAGACUGUGUGUUCUAGGUUGCACCCUAGAGAGGCCGACGUGGCCUGGCCUUGAAGGAGACUCACCGACAGAGGGGCCUGCAGGCCUUCAGUCGCAUGGCGCCCUCCAGGACCCCAGAGUGCGCUCAGAGCAGGAGGGAUGCAGAUCCUGCCUCAGUUCCGAGCACAGCCCGACCCCCUGAGAGCCUCUGGCAGAAGCUCCCAGCUGAGCGCUGCUGGAUUCCUGGUCCAGUGCAACCAUGACAUAAUCAAGAUACCGGUGCUGGGUGGGUGUUCAGCUUGGAGAGAUCCAGUCUUUCAUGUGGUCCUUCAGAAACCCCUAGUUCUUCCACCAUGUGAUUUUUCCAGCUCUAGGACAUCAUCCUCAUCUGAAUCCGUCAGCAUCAGGGGAAGGACUUAAAGAAAUGCAUGCCAUUUCUGUCGUUAACUUACGUUAUAUGCCAUGGGGAAGGGAUUUUUCAGAUGCAAGAACAGUCUAAUCAUUUGACUUUGAGUUUAUCAAAAGAGAGAAUACUCUGGUUGGCAUUGACUUAAUCCAAUGAACCUUUUGAAAGAGAGUCAAAACCUUCCCUGAAUGGUGAUAUCAAGUGAGAGAGAGUCUUUUAUUAUCUUUAAGGAGCAAAGUACUGUGUUGUGGAAGGAGGGGCCAAGCAUUGCAGACAAUGGGCUAGUGGCCACUGGGACUGAGAAAAGUUCCAAGCUGACAGCCAUCAG